UGUCUUUAUGUUAUGGCUAAUGAAUGACAUGAAAAUAUUCAAUAACAAUUAUCUAUUGAAAUGGCUAAUUAGGAGUAUGUUUGAUGUUAUGUAUGCCUAAAUGAUAGUUAAUACAAAGAAAUAAUAAAAGAGUAAAUUUGCAAUGGUACAGUUUUUGGACAGCAGCAAUGAUGUGAUUUUGAAAAAUCACCAAAAUUAGUAGAAAUAGAAUUAGAGAGUGAAUAAGAUAUAUAUUAAAGCUUAUUGAGUCUAAUUUCAUAUGAAAGAAACAAUGCAGGCAAAGAAAUUUUAUAUUAUGAGAUAUUUGAAUUUUAGUGUGACAGGGCCAGAAUGGUUUCUGAAGUCCCCUGUUCUAAAUUUAGAAAAUCAUUAAAAAUUGUACAGAAAUAAUUAUAAGUUAUAAUUUAUAUGUCUUAAUUCCUUGGUGAGUCUAUUUUCAGUAGAAACAAGUAGAAGUACCAUAUGAAAUCUGUAAAAUGAGAAAAUUAAUUUUUAGUGACGAGAGGUCAGAACUGUCGAAUAGUGAAAUAGGGGAGACUUUAACUAAUAAACUGUACUAAUUGGCCAACCCAAAAAUUCUAAAAAUUUUAUGAUAAUUAGAUAUAUGAGUAUAGUUUUAGGGAAAAUUUACAGAUUUAAAUUUUGAGUUUCGUAACUUGAGUUAUAAUUAAUUUAGCUACUACUGCGCAGUUGGAUAGUUUUAUUGUGAACAGUGAAAUAAAUUAUUUUAAUUUGUUUAAGUAUUUGGAAAAUUUUUAAUGUUCCCAUUUUGGUAAGUUAAGUUAGGUAACGCAUCGUGCCUGAUUCCAGCAACGGUCUCGGUUAAGGGGUGUUACAUAAAAAGAUGAGGAAUAGUGGGGGAGACCAUGAGGAAGAAUAAGAUAAUAAUGGCAAUAGUGACAAUGGUAAGAAUUAUGGUAAUGGGAAACCAUAGAAUGGGAAGAUGAAACCCAACAAUCCUCCGAAGGUCAAAGAGAAUGAAAAGAAGUUAGUGAAAUGUUUCUUGUGUUGUAGUCCGCAUAGGAUGCGAGACUGUUCAGAGCAAUCCAAGCUGUUUGCGACCAUUAAAAAUGAGAAAGUAGAUCCCGAUGAGAAAAAGGUAUUAAAGCUUAGAUCAAUGAUACUCAAUUCUGUGAAAGCAAAAAAGGACCGCAAUUAAAAAGAAUUGAUAUUUGUGGACAUCAACAUUGCAGGCCAAAGGAAAAGUUCGCUUAUUGAUACGAGGGCAUUCGAUUUGUUCAUAUUGGAGAAAGUCGUGGAUAAACUUGGUCUCUCAGUUAGCAAAUUGACUAAGAAGAUCAAAACUAUAAAUUCCAAAGAGGUCUCAACUAUGGGAGUAGCAUAAGAAGUUGAGCUACAGAUUGUUUAGUGGAAAGGAAAUGAAGACUUUGAGGUAAUUCAUUUAGAUUAUUACAACUUUUUUCUUGGCUUGAAUUCUCUUGACUAUAUUAAUGCUUUGUUGGUUCCUUUUUUCGAUUGCAUAUGUAUCUUGGAUACUCGUCAUCGAUAAUGUGUUAUGCUAGUGAGUCGUGAUGAGAAAGGUGGAACCAAUGUAUUAUUGGCAAUUUAGCUAGCAAAGGAUGUUUAUUGUCAUAAGUGUUGGAUCUGGUGCCCUGAGUGUAGUAUAUUCGUUUGUAAACUUGUAAUUUUUUCGAACAAAUUGGUUAAUAAAAACAAAUUCAUUAAUUACAUUAUUAUACUUUGUAUGAUUUUCCUCAUAUGAUUUUUGCACGCAAAGUAAAAUGGAAGCAAAUGUUGCUCAUUGGUUGUCUAAUGUUUAAACUAAUAUUAAGCGGUAUUACGUGGUCGGAUCGUAAUACGGAAAGAUAACUUAUAUUAGUAGACGAACCUAAACAUGUCCUUAGUCUAAUCAGAAAUGAGCAAACCGAUUGAAAGACUAAUAUUCCUUGUGAGAGAUUGAACCUUUGUAUGUGAGGUUUUGGGUGAUUGGGUGUAACAAGUUGGGACUAGAUAUUGGGGUUGCAAUUGCUUCUUUGUGUAAAGGUAGAUUAGGCUUUAGCCAAUAGGUGGUUGGAUCAAUUGUGGUAUAGAACCAUUCACUGAGUGAGGCUAAGUAGAGUAAGGUUGUUUCCAAAUUGAGCUAACAAACAAUUGUGUGCAAAUCUCUCCUUACUUUCUCUAUUUUAGUUUUUUUUAUUGCUUGUUCAAACUUGUGUCUGAACAUGUGUUUAGGAAGUAGUUUGAAUUUGUAGAAAACUGACUAGUUUGUUCAGUACGUCAAUGGAGGAAUAGUUAAUAUAUAAUAUUAAUAAUGCUGAAUAAUUUACAGUUGAUCUUGACAAUUGGGAGUGUAUGUUCAGAGCACUUUGCUGGUGUCUUUCGAAGCAAUGUAACAGUAACAUUUUUAGUCAAUGACUUCUGGGUCAGGCGAAUGUAAUUCAUAGAGCCUAUCAGAUGUGUGAAAAGAGGGUUGUUGUUUCAUAGAGGUAGAAUACUUGCCAUGGUCACCAUAAGAAUCACAGAACCUAGUUAUCCAUUGGGCUCAACCGAGGAUUAGUUGGCUAAAGGUAAGCACUGAUGGGUGAGGAGUGUGAAUAAUGGUUAUGCGGCUACUAGUGGUUUGGUUAAAGAUUACGACAGAUUUUGGAGAAUUGACUUUAUUCAGAAUAUUGAUAUUUGCUCAAUGUUAGAAGUUGAAAUGUGGUGGCGCUUACAAUGUGUGACAUCCCCAAUACCCCCUGAUUUAGGAAUCGUGGUAAAUCGAGAGUCAGUAUGUUAGAACUUGAGAAGGUUAUAAAAUAGAAAUUAUUAGUGUUAGUAAAGAGAGAAGAUAGAGAUUAAAGGUGUAACAGUCCGUUUUCAGUGAAAUCAGAACAGUGGUUUCAGAACCACAAAUUUCAAGUCAAAAAACAAAUAUUUUAAUAUUAUUUUAUGGUCUACAGUAUGAUGGAAAUAUCGUAUAAAAAUUUCGUUAAGAAAUUUUACCGUUUACAUGCUUAAUUUGAUAAAAAAGACUAAAUUGCAUUAAGUGCAAAGAUUGAGUUCUAAUAGCUAAAAGUAUUAAAUAGCUAUAAAAUUUUAAAUUGGAGGUCCUUAUAUAGUAAAUAGGCCAUUAAGGUGGUUAGUGAAUAAGUAUGAAUAGUCAUCAUUGGAAUUUCAUGAGAUAUGAAGGUUAAUUUUGGAAAUUAGUAAUUAAAGUUAUAAUAAAUAAAAUAAUCUAUUCUUGUCAUCUUCCACAAAAAAUAAAGAAACAAGAAAGAAAACCUAGACAUGGAAGCUUGAGUGUAGUAGCUUAAUUUAGCUAGCUCGGGAUCAAUUUGCAAAACUGUUAAAGUAUUAUAGUUUUGCUAUUGGUAAACAUACUUGAGUUUUGAAGUUUUAUGAUAAAAAAUGAAAGGUUGUUGGUAGAUAAACAACUUUUGUAAAGAGAAUUUUGAUGAAAUUAUCAAUUAGGGAUUAAGUUAAAAAAGAUGAUAAAUUUAUGGUAAAAUUUGUAAUUUUGUGAAAUAUAUGGACUGCUAUUAAUAUGUAUAAAAAUCGGCUAGGCUUGAGUAAGUAUUAAAUUGUAUGAAUUUCAUUUUUCGAGCCUAGAGACUAAAUUGCAAAGAAUUAAAAGUAUAGGGGUAAAGUGGUAAUUUUGCCAAAAUGUGUGUUGGACUAAAUUGAAUAUGAAUUAUAUUGAAUUGAGUUAAAUUCAUUCGUAUAGAUCUGGUUAGACCUCGUACGGAGUUAGAUCAAGACAAAGGAAAAGUAUUGUAUUAGUCGCCUUUGUAUCUACGUAAACUCGUUAAGGUAAGUUCGUGUAAUUAAAUUGUGUAAUUAUAUGCUUUGAUUGAAUUCAAUGUAUCUUAAUUGUAUUACCAUCAUAUAUGAGUACCAAUCGUACAUCCGACGAUGUAUGACGAAUAUCGAGCCCCGUUUGAACCUUAGGAAUUCGUAGGAUACAAAUGACAUGUCAUUAGGGUCACUGAUUUCAGCUCUUAUGAGCUUCCCGUUAUUCAGCUUGAAAGAGCUUACUGUUUAUAGCUCGUAUGAGCAUACAUGUAUAUGAAUUGACGAAUUACAGUUUAGUACUCCUCGUUUGUCCUACCUAUGUAUCCAACGAUAUUCUAAAUGGUUCAACGGGCACAGUUUUGUUAUGAGAUUUUAUAAGUUCGAUAUGAACUAUUAUUGGUAUUUAUAUGAAAAACAUGAAAUGUGAUUAUUUGAUGAAUUCAACCAUGUGCGUUGGAUCUUAUAUGUGUUUUUCAUGGCUAAUAUGUUGGUGAUAAUGUGUUUAGGCUUUUGGCCAAAUUGGUUGAGAUAUGCUAUGUUUACUUACCUAUUGUAAGGAUAUAUGGUAAGUUAAAUUCCGUGUUAUGCGAACUUACUAAGCUUAAAUGCUUACUUUGUUUUAUUUUUCUUUGUUUUAUAGUAAUUCGGAAGCUCGUUCGGAUUGGAAGCUGGUCGGAGUUAUUUCACACUAUCCAUCAGUCCUUUUGGCACUUUCAGUAAAUUAGUCUCGAAUAUAAUGGCAUGUAUAGGUUAUUUUGGCCAAUGUUGGUAUAUAGUUUUUUUGUUGAGACUAGCUAUUUGAAUGGAUUGAGUUUGGUAUAUUUUGAUGUGUAUAUGAGUGGCUUUAUCAUAAUUGUUGUGUGUUUGAUAUGGUAGAAUGAAAGAAAGUAAAUGGG
rnacentral:lncRNA from 1 species